AGCCAGUGAUGACAAAUCAACAUUUCUGACACCUCGUAUGAGAGCUGCACUGCGGCUCCUGAUUCUAACUCUGGUCUGAGGCUC